CAGCCGCCGCGGUAAAACGUAGGUGGCGAGUGUUGUCCGGAAUUAUUGGGCGUAAAGGGAGCGCAGGCGGACAUAUAAGUCCAUCUUAAAAGUGCGGGGCUCAACCCCGUGAGGGGAUGGAAACUGUAUGCCUUGAGUGCAGGAGAGGAAAGCGGAAUUCCCAGUGUAGCGGUGAAAUGCGUAGAUAUUGGGAGGAACACCAGUGGCGAAGGCGGCUUUCUGGACUGUAACUGACGCUGAGGCUCGAAAGCCAGGGGAGCGAACGGGAUUAGAUACCCCCGUAGUCCCUGUCUCUUAUACA
rnacentral:rRNA from 1 species